rnacentral:rRNA from 1 species
CCUGGUUGAUCCUGCCAGUAGUCAUAUGCUUGUCUCAAAGAUUAAGCCAUGCAUGUGUAAGCACACACUGUUUUAAAAGUGAAGCCGCGAAUGGCUCAUUACAACAGCCACAGUUUAUUAGAACUUACAUACAUGGAUAACUGUGGUAAUUCUAGAGCUAAUACACGCACAAAAACUUCAACUGAAUUGGUUGAAGUGCUUUUAUUAGAACAAAAACCGAACGGCGUUCGACUUGUGUUGAACGUCGAAACUCUUUGGUGAAUCUGAAUAACUAUUUCUGAUCGCAUGGUCUAGCACCGGCGACAUCACUUUCAAGUGUCUGCCUUAUCAACCUUCGAUGGUAGUCUAUGCGACUACCAUGGUGAUAACGGGUAACGGAGAAUCAGGGUUCGACUCCGGAGAGGGAGCCUGAGAAACGGCUACCACAUCCAAGGAAGGCAGCAGGCGCGCAAAUUACCCACUCCCAGCUUGGGGAGGUAGUGACGAAAAAUAACGAGACGAUUCUCGUUUGAGAAACGUUAUCGAAAUGAGUACGCUUUACACACGCUAACGAGUAGCAAUUGGAGGGCAAGUCUGGUGCCAGCAGCCGCGGUAAUUCCAGCUCCAAUAGCGUAUAUUAAAGUUGCUGCGGUUAAAACGCUCGUAGUUGAAUUGUGGUCUUAGACAACAGUCCCCCUAUAUAGGUGUGGCACGGUUGCUCGAGAUCUUCAUUCGUGGUUGCUGUUGUUGCUCUUCAUUGAGUGUCAAUGGUGCCUCGAGAUUUUACUUUGAAAAAAUUAGAGUGCUCAAAGCAGGUUGUGAUGCCUGAAUAAUGGUGCAUGGAAUAAUAGAAUACGAUCUCGGUUCUAUUUUGUUGGUUUUCGAACCGGAGAUAAUGAUUGAAAGGAACAGACGGGGGCAUUCGUAUUGCUGCGUUAGAGGUGAAAUUCUUGGAUCGCAGCAAGAUGAACAAUUGCGAAAGCAUUUGCCAAGAAUGUUUUCAUUAAUCAAGAACGAAAGUUAGAGGUUCGAAGGCGAUCAGAUACCGCCCUAGUUCUAACGGUAAACUAUGCCAACCAGCGAUUCGCCGAAGUUCAUUUAAGACUCGGCGAGCAGCUUCCGGGAAACCAAAGUGUUUCGGUUCCGGGGGAAGUAUGGUUGCAAAGCUGAAACUUAAAGGAAUUGACGGAAGGGCACCACCAGGAGUGGAGCCUGCGGCUUAAUUUGACCCAACACGGGAAAACUCACCCGGCCCGGACACUGAAAGGAUUGACAGAUUGACAGCUCUUUCUUGAUUCAGUGGGUAGUGGUGCAUGGCCGUUCUUAGUUGGUGGAGCGAUUUGUCUGGUUAAUUCCGAUAACGAACGAGACUCUGGCAUGCUAACUAGUUACGCGACCCCCGAGCGGUCGGCGUCCCCCAACUUCUUAGAGGGACAAGUGGCGUUCAGCCACCCGAGAUUGAGCAAUAACAGGUCUGUGAUGCCCUUCGAUGUCCGGGGCUGCACGCGCGCUACACUGACUGGCUCAGCGUGUGCCUACCCUACGCCGGCAGGCGCGGGUAACCCGUUGAACCCCAUUCGUGAUGGGGAUCGGGGAUUGCAAUUAUUCCCCAUGAACGAGGAAUUCCCAGUAAGUGCGGGUCAUAAGCUUGCGUUGAUUAAGUCCCUGCCCUUUGUACACACCGCCCGUCGCUACUACCGAUUGGAUGGUUUAGUGAGGCCCUCGGAUCGGCCCCGCCGGGGUCGGCCCACGGCCCUGGCGGAGCGCUGAGAAGACGGUCGAACUUGACUAUCUAGAGGAAGUAAAAGUCGUAACAAGGUUUCCGUAGGUGAACCUGCGGAAG